UACAGAGGCCUCGAGCGUUAGGCGGAAUCACUGGGCUUAAAGCGUGUGUAGGCGGACUUCUAAGUACCUUGUGAAAUCCCACGGCUCACCCGUGGAACUGCUUGGUAUACUGGUUGUCUUGAGCCUUCUAGGGGCGAGUGGAACAAAUGGUGGAGCGGUGAAAUGCGUAGAUAUCAUUUGGAACGCCAAUGGUGAAAACAACUCGCUGGGGAAGUGCUGACGCUGAGACACGAAAGCCAGGGGAGCGAACAGG
rnacentral:rRNA from 1 species